AGGUGUAGCGCAGUUUGGUAGCGUGUUUGGUUCGGGACCAAAAGGUCGCAGGUUCAAAUCCUGUCACCU
rnacentral:tRNA from 1 species